GCCCUUCGGGGUACUCGAGCGGCGAACGGGUGAGUAACACGUGAGUAAUCUGCCCCAUGCUUCGGGAUAGCCAGCCGAAAGGCUGAUUAAUACCGGAUAUGACACUCCCCGGCAUCGGGUGGGUGUGGAAAGUUUUUUCGGCGUGGGAUGUGCUCGCGGCCUAUCAGCUUGUUGGUGGGGUAAUGGCCUACCAAGGCUUCGACGGGUAGCCGGCCUGAGAGGGUGACCGGCCACACUGGGACUGAGACACGGCCCAGACUCCUACGGGAGGCAGCAGUGGGGAAUAUUGGACAAUGGGCGGAAGCCUGAUCCAGCAACGCCGCGUGAGGGAUGACGGCCUUCGGGUUGUAAACCUCUUUCAGCACAGACGAAGCGCAAGUGACGGUAUGUGCAGAAGAAGGACCGGCCAACUACGUGCCAGCAGCCGCGGUAAUACGUAGGGUCCGAGCGUUGUCCGGAAUUAUUAGGCGUAAAGGGCUCGUAGGCGGUUUGUCGCGUCGGGAGUGAAAACCUACAGCUUAACUGUGGGCUUGCUUUCGAUACGGGCAGACUUGAGGCAUGCAGGGGAGAACGGAAUUCCUGGUGUAGCGGUGAAAUGCGCAGAUAUCAGGAGGAACACCGGUGGCGAAGGCGGUUCUCUGGGCAUGUUCUGACGCUGAGGAGCGAAAGUGUGGGGAGCGAACAGGAUUAGAUACC
rnacentral:rRNA from 1 species